UUCCAGCAUCUGUGGUGGUAUAUCCCUGAAGCUUCCAAGUAUUAUCUGGAGCCUGUAUUUGUGAACACCAAAGGGAAAUUAAACUAUGAAAGGCUUUUCCUUGACUUCCCUGUCUCCAGUUAUCCCCCACCCGUCACCCAAUGCCCAAAUUGGAAAAAGGAGGGAAACUCCCCAGGCAAGGCAGGAGACAGCUGACCCUGAGUAUACACACUUUUGUACACGUUACUUGGUUGGAGACGGCAUUGCAAAAUUUGGAAAAGUGCAAAUUUCAAAGGAUGGCUGGGUCUCAGUUCACAUAUUGUUUUGGAAAAUGACUUAGGAUCGUGCGAUUUGCCAGGUUGGAUAAAAGGACUGUAACUCUAUCUGUCUCCACCACCAGCCAAUGCUUUCAGCCUCACGAAGAAAGGAAGAUGUCAUAAUAUACCAGGGGAGGUUGAUGGCUCCAUGUCAGUGGGGCAGUGGAAUCCACUCUGGUUUUCCAGGAGCUGUCGAAUGUUCUGAAAGCUGGAGUAAUAUACUUGCACUGUUAGGGGUAAAGGUGGAAAAAUGCCUUCCAAAUCCUCUUAACUUUCUGAAGAACAGAACUGAAAAGCAUUUUAUUAUUAUCCUAGUUUGCCUAUCAGUCAGGAGGCAGGAGAGUCAGAAUUUGGGUAUUCCUGCCAUCUCUCACAAGAUUUCUUGUGUGACCCUGGGCUCUUCCAUAUCUGUCAGUAAAUUGGGGAUGGUAAUACUUAGCCAUCCUUUUGGAGAAUGAUUUGACACCUCUGGGUUGAAGGUGCUCAAGGAGUGCAAAGCAUUAUUAUUAUUACGAUGAUCUAUGAAUGUUAUUAAUGGGCAUGACAUUUCCGUUCCCCCUUUUAAAAAUCAGCUCACAGUAUUUGACUCCCUGCAGCUACAUGAACUUCUCAGACUGGCAGCAGACUUGAGUGCUUUCUUGCAUCAGUUUGAAAUUACAGUACCCUCUUCUCUUUUUUUUGCUGUGGAAUCUCUGUUAACAAAACUGUAAGAAUAUCAUUUUAGCCAGAUCCUUUAGAGUUAGAACCACCACAGAAGAAGGGUCAGAGUAAGCUGCCGAAUUUGAAGAAACAACAACCAGUCUGAAUCUUGAGUUAAUGUUCUGAUUUAUUCGUGGGCCAUCAUGAUGCCAAAUUGGCCUUGGAUGUAGGAGGCAAAGACUGAAAUCCCCACUUGGCUCUUGAGGACACUGUGUGACUUGGUGCCAGUGGUCUCAGCUAAGGUUACACUGAUAUGACAACUAUGGGUUAGGCCAUGGGUCAGUUGCUGGUCAUGAACCCACAGUUGAAAACCAGCAUUACAGGCAGCCCAUUAUUUAGACAUUAGAUAUCUAUUUGUGCCAGAAAGAUUUCUGGUUAGUGAGUGUGUCCAAUUAACAGAAGUGACCAUAAAGUUGAGGUUUUUCAGUUCUUCAAUAAAUGUAUUUUUUUUCUGUAAAAUGGGUUGUAGUUUCAUACAUCAUGGUACAGGGAGGGUUAAUACAAAUGAUAGAUAAUCUAAAGCCUGGGAGUCAAAUGUGGCCCUCCAGGCCUCUCUGUCUGGUCCUCGAGACUCCGCAGACCACAGCCCUCAGGUCUCUUCCCAGACCACACCCCUCACUGGCUGAGCUUCUCAUUCUUCUUUGGGUUUUCCCCCCACUCUGGCUGGAUUGUGUCCUUGAACAAGUUAAUGCUUGCCUUCCUGGAUACAGGAUAGAGAGGAGGGGACUAUGAUAGCAUUUGUAGAAACUAGUUUACUAUAUAAAAGUAUAUUUUCCUUUUGUUGUUCCACCCACUUUUCCUUCUAGCUCCUCCUAUUACUGGCAUGUGGCCUCCAGAAGGUUGCUGAGAUGAGAAUGCGUCCCUUGGGGUGAAAAUGCUUGAUCAUUCCUGGUUUAUACAGACAUAUCAUUAGUUACAUUAACAGGGGUGAUUAUAUGGUACAACUGCAUGAGUUUUCCCCUCCAUAGCCUAUAGCCAAUACAAGUAAUAGAUAUGCAAGGAUUUUAGUUACUUUUCCCAGCAUGCACUGGGCUCAUGUAAAAUUAGAGGAGAAAGAAAAUGUCAUUACUUUGGCUUAGUGAAGGACAAAAGUAAAGAACCUUCAAAUAUGAGCCUCUGCAUUUUCUUGUAAAACUUUUAAAAGAAGUAUGGGAUGAAAGAGGUGUAAGUUUGGGUUCAAGCACUCCAAGUUUGAACAAAGCCUAGAAGGAUACAGACUGAGGAGAAGAGUGAGAGAGACUGCCAUUUCAAUACUCCCCUCCUCGGUAGAUCACCAAAGUGCAGCUCAGACAUGCAGUAACUACAAUGAUUACAUCUAUCUCAUUAUCCCUCUUUGAUUAAAUCACAGUAUGCUAACAGUCCUUGGAUAUUAAAACUAUAUUUGCUGAGAUUUCAGAAUCCACAUAAUGAGCACAUAAACAAUUAUUUUAUUUGUCUUGCUGUUAAACCUUGGCGACUUACCUUGCAUUUUUACAAUCACCAUGUAUUUGGCAUGCAUUGGCCAUCCUAUUCUAUUAA